rnacentral:rRNA from 1 species
GACGAACGCUGGCGGCGUGCCUAACACAUGCAAGUCGAACGGAGUACCUUCGGGUACUUAGUGGCGAACGGGUGAGUAACGCGUGAGAAACCUGCCUUUCAGUGGGGGCAACAGUUGGAAACGACUGCUAAUACCGCAUAACAUAUUUUGGUGGCAUCACCGAAAUAUCAAAGGAGCAAUCCGCUGAAAGAUGGGCUCGCGUCUGAUUAGAUAGUUGGUGAGGUAACGGCUCACCAAGUCGACGAUCAGUAGCCGGGCUGAGAGGCUCUACGGCCACAUUGGGACUGAGACACGGCCCAGACUCCUACGGGAGGCAGCAGUGGGGGAUAUUGGACAAUGGGGGAAACCCUGAUCCAGCGAUGCCGCGUGAGGGAAGAAGGUUUUCGGAUUGUAAAGCACUUUCAGAGGGGAGGAGAAUGACGUUACCCUCAGAAGAACGNACCGGCUAACUCCGUG